AUCCUUUGGCGGACGAGAUGGGCAAGUGUGCUGGAGUGAACCGAAAUGUGGGUUCAAUAAUCUGCUCAGGUUGAAAUAUAAUAUAAUGGCAAAACAUUUGUUACACCCGCAUAAUAGAAGACACAUGUGGUCAGCGAAUUUUGCAAGGUUCCGCUACGCACACUGCUUCCUUUUUUGUGAAGAAUAUUACAGUCAUAUCGUAUUGUCGAUAAGACAUUUCUAUACCAAAAGUAACGUGUAAUAGUGCAAAAGAAUAUGAAUUUUGCUUUUGCACAGUCAACCUGCUUUUUACAAAGCAUAUUUACAUACCCUCUAAGGCCUUCUAUAGGCGAUUCAUAUAAUUUAGAUUUUUCGAAUUUAAAAUAAAUUAUAAUCACCGGUAAACUGUUGCACCGAUGGGUGGCUCCGUAAAGGGGCUCAUCAAGUUUACCGUGUCAAGUGGAUUUGAUUUGAACAAUGAUGGUUUUUUUUGGAUUAUCAAUAAGAUUUUUGAUGUAUCGUAUUGGAGAAAACCCGACUCCGGCCACUUUUACAAUUUUACUACUUCUUCAUUACGCUUUAGUUGAGAGAUCGAGAUCUCGUAAACAGAUACAUCAAUAUCGUGAUAAAACGUUUGCUAAUCGCCCUGUCGAAUGUGUCCUUGUGCAGAUUCACCCAGCCAGGUUGAACUGUAGUACAAUGACACCGUAUUUUUUUUUACUUUUUCUCUCAAAGCAGUGCGAUAAUUUCGAUAACACUCCCACACACUUACCCAGCUCGGCCGACAAACGCAUACAGCAAUCGAUAUAGCAGAAGUACAUUCAGCAAACCUUGCCUGUGUAUUCGUUAGCAUACGUAUCUUGUGCUUAAACACCACCACUAUUAGCAUACCGCCGGAAUAAGACCAUCUCACCUGCUCACCUGAAUCGCACCAUGCCACAGUGUACCGGUAGUGCUCGUGCUAAGUGGUCGCUUUUCCUCCAGCAAAUUGCAGCAGUAUGCCAAAAUGUCCCUCCAAUAGUGGCAUCAUAGGUGCGUCUUUGGGGUUUUUUGGAUUGUGAUUCUAAGUAAACUCGUUUCCGGUAUCAUGGUUUAAGGCAAAGCAACAACUUCUAUGCAUAUGGGGAAUGCAUAUGCUCGAAUGGCUGAAAGCUGAUAAACUUCCUUUAGACCACCUUGUCAUGAUAAGCAAGGAUGGCCCGCAAGACAACCAAAGCAUGGAGCGCUAAAAACACAUCAAGCUGAUUCGUCAAAGAGACACCUCGUUGAAUAGGAUGUUGGACAGGACCAUUACCAGUUCACGUCAUACACAAUGCAGUCAAGUAUGGAAUGCGUUGAAAGAGCUUGGGAUUUGGGUGUCUGAGAUGGCGAAGGUAGUUUGAAUAGCCAUCCAGGAAAGAAGAAUUUGAAAAAAAUUGUAAAAGUAAAAACCUUGUAAAAUGCAUUGUAACUCGUUGAGUAACGUUGGGCACUAUAGCAUAGGUCCUACCUAUGAACAUGAACUAUUUUUUUGCAUUGAAAGUUGAAACACUCGGAAAGUAAAACAAUAAAAGCUUAUCAUAAAGAGGUUAUUGUUAGGAACCUGUCCUUAAAA